rnacentral:misc_RNA from 1 species
GAUGAAGAACGUAGCGAAAUGCGAUAAGUAAUGUGAAUUGCAGAAUUCAGUGAAUGAUCGAAUCUUUGAACGCACAUUGCGCCCGCCAGUAUUCUGGCGGGCAUGCCUGUCUGAGCGUCAUUUCAACCCUCAUGCCCCUAGGGCGUGGUGUUGGGGAUCGGCCAAAGCCCGCGAGGGACGGCCGGCCCCUAAAUCUAGUGGCGGACCCGUCGUGGCCUCCUCUGCGAAGUAGUGAUAUUCCGCAUCGGAGAGCGAUGAGCCCCUGCCGUUAAACCCCCAACUUUCCAAGGUUGACCUCAGAUCAGGUAGGAAUACCCGCUGAACUUAAGCAUAUCAAUAAGCGGAGGA